GACAUUGAUCUUGGGCCUUAAGGGCCAGG
rnacentral:sRNA from 1 species